rnacentral:rRNA from 1 species
UACAGAGGUCUCAAGCGUUGUUCGGAUUCAUUGGGCGUAAAGGGUGCGUAGGCGGCGCGGUAAGUCGGGUGUGAAAUCCCUCGGCUCAACCGAGGAACUGCGCCCAAAACUACCGUGCUCGAGGAAGAUAGAGGUGAGCGGAACUUACGGUGGAGCGGUGAAAUGCGUUGAUAUCGUAAGGAACACCCGUGGCGAAAGCGGCUCACUGGGUCUUCUCUGACGCUGAUGCACGAAAGCUAGGGGAGCAAACGGG